GAGAUCGGAUCAAGACCACCAUCACCAAUUGGCCAUCCUAGUCAUAUUCCGCUACCACCACCACCACCUUCGCCUAUUGUUAGUUCUCCACCGCCUCCGGUUCCUCACUCUUCUGCUGCCAACAAGAAGAACAUAAUAUUGAUUACUUGGGUAAUCAUUUUCUUCUGUGGUUAAUUUGGUGGUUAUGAUGAUUAUGGUAUGGAGUUAUUUACUUUAUUGUGUAUGCUUUUAUGUUGUGGUGUAGUGUUACUCAUCUAUGAAAGGAAAAUGUUAUGGUUUUAUAUUUUCUAGCUAUAUAUUUUUUGUUUCCUUGUUCAAUAUUAUUAUUUUAAUCACCAUAAACAAUGAUCCAAAUACCCAUGAUUACUGUGUCACAGAAUAAUUAAACAUCAACAAUCAACCACAUACAGUAUUAAAACUAAUCGGCUUCCUAAUAAUUUCAACAAUACAUACCGUAUUAUGUUUAUCUGCCAUCUCUCUCAAGACUUCAGCGAUAACCUAACCCUGAUAUGUGUGAAGAAAAGAUUUGUCUGGAAAACUUGAGUUGUUGGCCAAAUUCCAAGUUCCUAACCGUGAUGCUGCUACAGUUGUCGAUAUUGAAGAUUAAAGGUGUCCAAUUCUUUCUAAGUUGUUAUUCUCACUGAACCAAGGUUUACGCCGGCAAAUAUGGGUACUGUGAGUGAUAGAUUUGGUGGGUCUCGUUGAAGGGUUAAGACAGGAUGUGCAGUUGUGACGGAGUUCGUGUUCAAAUUUGUAGGAAGUUUGGGUGAAAUUUGAUGCCGAGAGAACAACUAAGAAGAAAAGCUUUGCUGUGUAUUGGAUGACUGAGAUUUUACAGGUUUCAGUACUUAAGAAUUGAUUGUUGUUGGUGUUGCUGGUGCCUUUGCUAAAACCACUACCCCAUUGGAACGCAUUCUCUUGCAGGUUACGAGUCCUAAAGGGAGUAUAGGGCAUGGUUUGCAUAGUUUACAUUCUCUGCCUGAUCAUUGUGGGUUAAAAGAUGUCUUUAAGAGUGUAUACAGGGAAGGUUGGAACGAGUGUGCUGUACCGAGGUGUAGGUCCUACACUUGUUGGAAUCCACCCUUAUGCUGUUUUGAAGUUUUACAUACAUGAGGAACCCAAUAGACGGGUCCUUGAAGAGCACCAGAAUUCUGUUAUGUUGUGCCUAUCUUUUGGGGAUUUAACUGGGUUGUUUGGACAAACAUUUACAUGCCCAUUAAAUGUCGCUAGGAGAUGAUGCAGGUUCAGAGUCUGCAACAAGGUGGUCCUGGAUACAGGAUCCUGACUCAACUACGUUGUCCGCAACUAGGUCCCAAGCAUUUUAAGAUAUUUUACAGCAGGGAAUUUUCAGUCCUAGUGAUAUUGAAGUAUGCUUUGAUAACUUUCCCUACUAUCUGAGGUAAACUACUUUUAAUUGUUGCCUACUUGGUGGCUGUCUCUUGAUUGCUGCUUUACUAUAUACAUAUAUAUAUAUACAUAUAUAUAUAUAGUCGAACUCUUUUUUGUUUGCGUUGUUGGUUGGGUGGUAUGAAAAAUUUGGUUGUACCCGUCCCGACUCUUUUUCAUUAUGAUCAUGAUGGUUUAGUUUUUACGUUUACAUUCUGAAGUGUACAGACUUUAUUUUACAUCAUGUAGUUAGGGAGGCUCUAGUUCAUAACUCUCAUCACCAGCCUUCUGGAAUAGAGAGUUUAAAACGCAGCAUAUGUUCUUUAUGAAACCAGCACUAAACAUUCCCUUAGUGUGAAGUUAGAUUUAAUCAUGAAAAUAAGAAAUCUAGUUAGUGUGAAGUUAGAUACGAUCCUGUUGCUUUACUGCAACGUCGUCAAAAAGGAUUAAGCAUGUAGCAUACAAACAUCUUGGGAGAGAUCUUUCAAAACCAUAACUAGGGUUUCUCAUAUAUUCUUUAUUUUUGGAAUUAUGAGAAAGAGGAAAUCAAGAGAUAGCAAAUCUUCUAAUGAUCGUGUUAGAUACGAUGAGGAUCAGAUUUCCUUACAGAAUAGAAGACAAGCAUAAACUCACUUCUUUUGUUGACGGCUCAUGUUUUGAGAAAUACAAAACCCUCAAGAGAAUAGAGUUUACUGCUGAAAAGAGAUUCGAUCCAGAAGUCCAAGACAAAGACUAUGUGAAGUUUGUUCAAUCAAAACUGAGGAAAUCUUUUUGAUUUUGAAAAUAUAUGUCUGACUUGAGAAGCUCUGCAGGUUAACUGCACAGAAUGAGAAGUGUGUCCGAGUUAUGAAGUGAGUGUUUGCUGCACAAUUCAUGUGCUUAGAUUGCUUAUAUUCAGUUCCUCCCAUUGAUCUUAGUUUUGGUACAGUCUUUGUCAUGUGAGAGAUCACGAGUGAGCUGGCUUGCGAGUUUAAUGAUGAAACUAAAGAUGCUGUUAUAGGAUUGAAAUUGGUGAGAUAUAUUGAGUACAAGUUGAUGUGGUCUUUUAUGAGUCUGCAAUCAGUUGAGAAUGUGGCCUGGUGUUCUUUAUCCUUGACUGUUUUUACUUCAUUAUCCAAGUUAUGCUUUGUGUGAGUGAAUAAUUCUUGGUGCUUUACUAAGUACUCUAGUGUGUUGAAUAAUGCAAGGCAACAAUCUAUCUUACUCCUAUGUUGUUGUGCUUCCAUUUGCUGCUCUCAACUGUUCUCUUAUGUCAAGGUAUUUUCAAGACAAUGGUGUUGGCAACUACUUCUUGUGCUGAAUUUCGGUAUGUUAAUGUUUUGAAAGAGCUUUCAGCUUAAUUCUGGUAGGAGUGAAGUUACAGAAACAAGUUGUGCGGAGUAUCUUCUCAGAACACAGGUGCAGACUUUGUCCACAGCAUUCAGGGUCCCAGACCCAGUUCUUAUGGUUUAUCUAGCACAUGAAAGAGUAUGUUGUUAUGUUGAAGAAAUAAAAUUUGGAAAAGGCCUUGUUUCUUUUUCUUUUUUACCUGCCAAUCUUCCCUGUGGAAAGUGGUAUUGACCAGCUUGCUGCUGGAACUAAUUCAAGGUUCAACUGGAUCCACCACCGCUGCUUCUUUAGAUGUCUCAUCAAUUAUCCAUCCUGUGGAUGUAAUUUCAAUUAAUAACUACUCAUAUCAAUUAUCCUUUGAAUGAAACAAUUUGAUUAUGGUAUCAAUUGAAUGAUUGCAAUUGAAAUUGGAACCGACAAGUAGAGAACUGAGACUUAACACUGUCAAAUUGUGUUAACUCUCAGUAAAUUGGAACUCACAGGUAACCAAUCUACCGUUGAUACCAUAAUCAAA